rnacentral:rRNA from 1 species
UACGGAGGGGACUAGCGUUGUUCGGAAUUACUGGGCGUAAAGCGCACGUAGGCGGAUUGUUAAGUCAGGGGUGAAAUCCCGAGGCUCAACCUCGGAACUGCCUUUGAUACUGGCAAUCUCGAGUCCGGAAGAGGUGAGUGGAAUUCCUAGUGUAGAGGUGAAAUUCGUAGAUAUUAGGAAGAACACCAGUGGCGAAGGCGGCUCACUGGUCCGGUACUGACGCUGAGGCACGAAGGUCAGGGGAGCAAACGGG